ensembl:misc_RNA Y_RNA Y RNA
GGAAAAACAAAAGGCAGUGAGUUCUCUCAGCCAAUCUCUCAGCCAAUUGCAGGUCAACUUUCUCGUCCACCCCGCUCACUGCUGCGCUUGACUGGUCUUUG